rnacentral:rRNA from 1 species
UACGUAGGGUGCAAGCGUUGUCCGGAAUUAUUGGGCGUAAAGGGCUCGUAGGCGGUCCAUCGCGUCGGGAGUGAAAAGCUGGGGCUUAACCCCAGUCCUGCUUCCGAUACGGGUGGACUAGAGGUAGGUAGGGGAGAACGGAAUCCUGGUGUAGCGGUGAAUGACGCAGAUAUCAGGAGGAACACCGGUGGCGAAGGCGGUCUCUGGGCCUACCUGACGCUGAGGAGCGAAAGCAUGGGGAGCAAACAGG